rnacentral:rRNA from 1 species
GAUGAACGCUGGCGGCGUGCCUAAUACAUGCAAGUCGAGCGAACAGACGAGGAGCUUGCUCCUCUGACGUUAGCGGCGGACGGGUGAGUAACACGUGGAUAACCUACCUAUAAGACUGGGAUAACUUCGGGAAACCGGAGCUAAUACCGGAUAAUAUAUUGAACCGCAUGGUUCAAUAGUGAAAGACGGUUUUGCUGUCACUUAUAGAUGGAUCCGCGCCGCAUUAGCUAGUUGGUAAGGUACCGGCUUACCAAGGCACCGAUGCUUAGCCGACCUGAGAGGGGGAUCGGCCACACUGGAACUGAGACACGGUCCAGACUCCUACGGGAGGAAGCAGUAGGGAAUCUUCCGAAAUGGGCGAAAGCCUGACGGAGCAACGCCGCGUGAGUGAUGAAGGUCUUCGGAUCGUAAAACUCUGUUAUUAGGGAAGAACAAAUGUGUAAGUACUAUGCACGUCUUGACGGUACCUAAUCAGAAAGCCACGGCUAACUACGUG